UUCAUUUGUGAUGGCAGACCAGAACGACCUUCACUGGACUUCAUCUACAUGCAGUUUUCAGGAAUACAUCUACUACUUCUGUUCUUGGAGAACCUUGCUUGAUCAUUGUCUUCUAGCAGACAUGAUUUGACCCAUUGAUAAAAAAACUGAGGCUGAUAGACGUUAAGUGACUGGUGCAUCGCUACACACCUCUAUGCUGCAGAAUGAGAACUUGACUGCUUCCUGCCUCACUCCGACGCCUGAUUGCAUGUACUGCACUAGAGAGACUCCUAAGGGGAUUAUGCUGUUAAUUUGGGGAUAAACUAAAAUCUGCUCCAAGGAUAUUAUAUUUCCUCUAGGAUGGGAUGCAAGGACAGAUAAGAAAUGCAUGCUCCAGUAAUACGCUGGUUAGAUCAGCUUCUCCCUGUGACCAGCUAUGCUGCCUUCAUGCCUCGACAGGUGAUGACCCGGAACAAUCCCCCCAAAUAAACUUUCC